rnacentral:rRNA from 1 species
UCAGGUAGUUGGUGAGGUAACGGCCCACCAAGCCUACGACGGGUAGCCGGCCUGAGAGGGUGACCGGCCACACUGGGACUGAGACACGGCCCAGACUCCUACGGGAGGCAGCAGUGGGGAAUAUUGCACAAUGGGCGAAAGCCUGAUGCAGCAACGCCGCGUGAGGGAUGACGGCCUUCGGGUUGUAAACCUCUUUUAGUAGGGAAGAAGCGAAAGUGACGGUACCUGCAGAAAAAGCACCGGCUAACUACGUGCCAGCAGCCGCGGUAAUACGUAGGGUGCGAGCGUUGUCCGGAAUUAUUGGGCGUAAAGAGCUCGUAGGCGGUCUGUCGCGUCUGCUGUGAAAACCCGAGGCUCAACCUCGGGCUUGCAGUGGGUACGGGCAGACUAGAGUGCGGUAGGGGAGAAUGGAAUUCCUGGUGUAGCGGUGGAAUGCGCAGAUAUCAGGAGGAACACCGAUGGCGAAGGCAGUUCUCUGGGCCGUAACUGACGCUGAGGAGCGAAAGCGUGGGGAGCGAACAGGAUUAGAUACCCUGGUAGUCCACGCCGUAAACGUUGGGCGCUAGAUGUGGGGACCAUUCCACGGUUUCCG